UGGGGAAUAUUGCACAAUGGGCGCAAGCCUGAUGCAGCGACGCCGCGUGGGGGAUGACGGCCUUCGGGUUGUAAACUCCUUUCGCUAGGGACGAAGCUUUUUGUGAUGGUACCUAGAUAAGAAGCACCGGCUAACUACGUGCCAGCAGCCGCGGUAAUACGUAGGGUGCGAGCGUUGUCCGGAAUUACUGGGCGUAAAGGGCUCGUAGGUGGUUUGUCGCGUCGUCUGUGAAAUUCCGGGGCUUAACUCCGGGCGUGCAGGCGAUACGGGCAUAACUUGAGUACUGUAGGGGUAACUGGAAUUCCUGGUGUAGCAGUGAAAUGCGCAGAUAUCAGGAGGAACACCGAUGGCGAAGGCAGGUUACUGGGCAGUUACUGACGCUGAGGAGCGAAAGCAUGGGUAGCGAACAGG
rnacentral:rRNA from 1 species